GGGGUAUUGACCGAUUUUUAUUGAUUUUGAGGGGAAUUCUCUGUGUCUCCUGGAUUUUGAUGACUGUUUCCUUCCCCAAAUUAGCAGCUCUCAAGGCCUCUAUGUUCUGGAUCUCUGAGUGAAAUGUGCCAAGUUCCUCCACCAUCCAGAUUGUUCCAGCUGAGAGUAGGUGUGGAU
rnacentral:lncRNA from 1 species